CAACCCUCAAGCCCCCUCGGGGGCUUGGUGUUGGGGACCGGCCCCGCCCCGUCGCGGGUCGCCGCCCCCGAAAUUCAUUGGCGGUCUCGCCGCAGCCUCCUCUGCGUAGUAAUUGCACCUCGCACCGGAGCGCGGCUCGGCCACGCCGUUAAACCCCAACUUCUGAAU
rnacentral:misc_RNA from 1 species